CCGGGCGUGGCGGCGGCUGUUCGGCCGGACGGCUGCCCGUGCCGUCCCGGCCGGUCGGGGAGAUCGGGGCGCCCGUGCCGUCCCGGUUGCCGGGG
rnacentral:tRNA from 1 species